UAGGGAAUUUUCCGCAAUGAGCGAAAGCUUGACGGAGCGAUACCGCGUGAGGGAUGACUGCCUAUGGGUUGUAAACCUCUUUUUUCAGGGAGGAAUAAAUGACGUGUACCUGAAGAAUAAGCAUCGGCUAACUCCGUGCCAGCAGCCGCGGUAAGACGGAGGAUGCAAGUGUUAUCCGGAAUCACUGGGCGUAAAGCGUCUGUAGGUGGUUAAAUAAGUCAACUGUUAAAUCUUGAGGCUCAACUUCAAAAUCGCAGUCGAAACUAUUUGACUAGAGUAUAGUAGGGGUAAAGGGAAUUUCCAGUGGAGCGGUGAAAUGCGUAGAUAUUGGAAAGAACACCGAUGGCGAAGGCACUUUACUGGGCUAUUACUGACACUCAGAGACGAAAGCUAGGGUAGCAAAUGGGAUUAGAUACCCCCGUAGUCC
rnacentral:rRNA from 1 species